rnacentral:rRNA from 1 species
GAUGAACGCUGACCGAAUGCUUAACACAUGCAAGUCAACUUGAACUUCGGUUUGGGUGGCGGACGGGUGAGUAACGCGUAAAGAACUUGCCUCACAGAUAGGGACAACAUUUGGAAACGAAUGCUAAUACCUGAUAUUAUGAUUUUAGGGCAUCCUAGGAUUAUGAAAGCUAUAUGCGCUGUGAGAGAGCUUUGCGUCCCAUUAGCUAGUUGGAGAGGUAACGGCUCACCAAGGCGAUGAUGGGUAGCCGGCCUGAGAGGGUGAUCGGCCACAAGGGGACUGAGACACGGCCCUUACUCCUACGGGAGGCAGCAGUGGGGAAUAUUGGACAAUGGACCAAGAGUCUGAUCCAGCAAUUCUGUGUGCACGAUGAAGUUUUUCGGAAUGUAAAGUGCUUUCAGUUGGGAAGAAAAAAAUGACGGUACCAACAGAAGAAGUGACGGCUAAAUACGU